AUCACUGUAGGGGGUAGAGCACUGUUUCGGCUAGGGGGUCAUCCCGACUUACCAAACCGAUGCAAACUCCGAAUACCUACAAGUGCCGAGCAUGGGAGACACACGGCGGGUGCUAACGUCCGUCGUGAAAAGGGAAACAACCCAGACCGUCAGCUAAGGUCCCAAAGUUAUGGUUAAGUGGGAAACGAUGUGGGAAGGCUUAGACAGCUAGGAGGUUGGCUUAGAAGCAGCCACCCUUUAAAGAAAGCGUAAUAGCUCACUAGUCGAGUCGGCCUGCGCGGAAGAUGUAACGGGGCUCAAACCAUACACCGAAGCUACGGGUAUCAUCUUCGGAUGAUGCGGUAGAGGAGCGUUCUGUAAGCCUGUGAAGGUGAGUUGAGAAGCUUGCUGGAGGUAUCAGAAGUGCGAAUGCUGACAUGAGUAACGAUAAUGGGUGUGAAAAACACCCACGCCGAAAGACCAAGGUUUCCUGCGCAACGUUAAUCGACGCAGGGUUAGUCGGUCCCUAAGGCGAGGCUGAAAAGCGUAGUCGAUGGAAAACAGGUUAAUAUUCCUGUACUUCUGGUUAUUGCGAUGGAGGGACGGAGAAGGCUAGGCCAGCUUGGCGUUGGU
rnacentral:rRNA from 1 species